AUAUGUCAGCGGCAGACGGGUGAGUAACGCGUGGGAACGUACCUUUUGGUUCGGAACAACACAGGGAAACUUGUGCUAAUACCGGAUAAGCCCUUACGGGGAAAGAUUUAUCGCCGAAAGAUCGGCCCGCGUCUGAUUAGCUAGUUGGUGAGGUAAUGGCUCACCAAGGCGACGAUCAGUAGCUGGUCUGAGAGGAUGAUCAGCCACAUUGGGACUGAGACACGGCCCAAACUCCUACGGGAGGCAGCAGUGGGGAAUAUUGGACAAUGGGCGCAAGCCUGAUCCAGCCAUGCCGCGUGAGUGAUGAAGGCCCUAGGGUUGUAAAGCUCUUUUGUGCGGGAAGAUAAUGACGGUACCGCAAGAAUAAGCCCCGGCUAACUUCGUGC
rnacentral:rRNA from 1 species